rnacentral:rRNA from 1 species
AUUAGAUGAGCCUAUAUUAGAUUAGCUAGUUGGUGGAGUAAUAGCCUACCAAGGCAAUGAUCUAUAGCUGAUCUGAGAGGAUGAUCAGCCACACUGGAACUGAGAUACGGUCCAGACUCCUACGGGAGGCAGCAGUGGGGAAUAUUGGACAAUGGGCGAAAGCCUGAUCCUGCUAUGCCGCAUGAGUGAAGAAGGCCUUUGGGUUGUAAAGCUCUUUUAGUGAGGAAGAUAAUGACGGUACUCACAGAAGAAGUCCUGGCUAACUCCGUGCCAGCAGCCGCGGUAAUACGGAGAGGGCUAGCGUUAUUCGGAAUUAUUGGGCGUAAAGGGCGCGUAGGCUGAUUAAUAAGUUAAAAGUGAAAUCCCGAGGCUUAACCUUGGAAUUGCUUUUAAAACUAUUAAUCUAGAGAUUGAAAGAGGAUAGAGGAAUUCCUGAUGUAGAGGUAAAAUUCGUAAAUAUUAGGAGAAACACCAGUGGCGAAGGCGUCUAUCUGGUUCAAAUCUGACGCUGAGGCGCGAAGGCGUGGGGAGCAAACAGGAUUAGAUACCCUGGUAGUCCACGCUAUAAACGAUGAAUGUUAAAUAUGGGAAG